GAUCAACGCUGGCGGCGUUCCUAAUACACGCAAGUCGAGCGAACGGACCAGAAGCUUCCUUCUCUGAUCUUACCGGCGGACGGGUUAGUAACACGUGGAUAACCUACCUCUAAGACUCGGAUAACUUCCGGAAACCGGACCUAAUACCGCCUGAUAUCUUUAACCGCAUGUUUCAAACGUGAAAGACGCUCUUGCUGUCACUUAUAGAUGGAUCCGCGCUGCAUUAGAUAGUUUCUAAGGUAACGGCUGACCAAGGCAACGAUGCAUAGCCGACCUGAGAGGGUGAGCGGCCAGACUGGAGCUGAGAAGCGGUCCAGACUCCUACGGGCGGCCGCGGUAGGGAAGCUUCCGCAAUGGGCGAAGGCCUGACGGAGCAACGCCGCGUGAGUGAUGAAGGUCUUCGGAGCGUAAGACUGUGUUAGGAGGGAAGAAAAUAAGUGUAAGUGAGUGUGCACAUCGUGACGGUACCUAAUCAGAAAGCGACGGCUAGCUACGUG
rnacentral:rRNA from 1 species